AAGUCGUAACAAGGUUUCCGUAGGUGAGUAAACAUCCACGCCCUUGUUUUGUUGCUUGUGUUUUGACAGUUAUACUAACGGUAUUAUAGGUGAACCUGCGGAAGGAUCAUUAAAGAGUUAGGGUCUCUCCAGGCCCGACCUCCCAACCCUUUGUUUACUUUGCUGCAUGUUGCUUUGGCGGACCCGUCUCACGACCGCCCUGGGACCGCCGAGAGGUGCCCCUGGGCCCGUGUCCGCCGAUAGCCAACCUAAACUCUUGAAUGAAUCGUGUUUUAUGUCUGAGUCUAUUGAUUAAAUCAAAAGCAAAAACUUUCAACAACGGAUCUCUUGGUUCUG
rnacentral:misc_RNA from 1 species